CUGAUCAGCUCAGCUGCCACCCAGGCCCAGACCCAGUGCUUUGUUGGCACGCCCCAAAAUCUACCCACCCCCCAUGAAUUGUCAGAGAGCAGGAAAGGAAUGGUCCCGAUGAUCCAAAGCUGCAGGAGCUCCGUGACACAGGGUAACAGCAGGAUAACCAGGAGCUGCUCCAGUGAGGCUCCUGUGUUGAUGGUGUGGCAGAAGCUGAGGCCUCAAACCAGUCCAAUGACUCAGCACAAUGAACAUUUGCAAGUGAAGAUGUGUGGACAGAGGGGGACACCGUGGGACACACUGUGACACUCUACAGCUUCCAUGGCAAGAGAGAAGCUGAACCUGUCCCUGCACCCAGACAGCAAGAAGAGCGGGAGGGCACUCGGAGAACCUGGCGGGAGCCCUGAGACUAGCUGGGGGGGUAUGAAAACGAUACAUUGUUUGUAUGUACGACAUCGUCGGACAAUAUAUCAAAAAUACUGCCAAAAAAGCACAAGAAAGGAAUCAUGGUGAUCGGUCAUCUGGCGAAUUGGCUAGAUUCCACAGGGCUGAGAACUAAAGCAGUUGGUGAAGGGAACCCCUGUCUCAAAAAGAAGAAAACAAGAAAAGAAGGAACUGGUAUUAUGAGCGGGGCAUAACUGACUUGUUGAAGGCUAGAAGGGUAGAUCAUUUGGCUCCAAGAACAUUUUGUAGUGGAUGAAACCGGAUAAAAUUAUAAACUGAGUGAAGUAGCCAGGUACAACAAGGGCAGAGGCCACAGAUUCUCCUAUCUGCAGACUUGUCUAUCUUGGUGUGCCUGUGGAAGUCAGGAAACCAGGAAGGGCACGAGGCGAGGGUGUGCUUUAAGGAAGGAAGCUAGAACACCGGUGACAGUGGCAGGGCUUCAGGGCCGGCACACGCAGCUGAGGCACCUUUAGAACCAGAGGGAUCUGACCUUCAGGUUCUCCCAGCACCCCCCAGUCCCUACCUAUUAAAGGGCUCAGCUGGCAUACCCGCCCCUAUAUCUUGAACUCUAGCCCAGGGGCGGGGCUUCCCCUCUCCCAGAGGCUCUUCACUGUAUAAUCCAGACAUCUUGGUCUCUCUCUGCCUCUCUCUCUCCGGGUCUCUCUCUCUCUCUUUCUCUCUCUCUGCCUCCCUUCCUGCCUCCCCAUCUAUCUCUCUCCUCUCACUCUUCUCCUCUCUGUCUUCGAGGGUACUUUUCUGUCUCUCCCUACACAGAAGCUUCCCUGGCCCCAUUCCUUGAGACCCGAGAACCCUCCUCAAGCUGCGUUUAUAUACUUCAGCUUGUCUUGAAUUAGCGGAAAGAAUGAUAACGUAUCAAUGGUAGAAAGGGAGAACUGGAAAGAUUUGAGCAUGGAGAGGAGGAAGGGAAGAUACAAGGAGAUGAGCUGGAGUACUAAAACAAAGGGUGUAUGCAAAGGCCUCCUGGAAACCUAAACCUGCCAUCUUGUGACACAAAUAAAAAGCAGGAAAGAGAAACUGAAGGAGUUGUCCCGCCUUCCCAGCUGGUGGUGCUGUGCUGAAAGGCCUUGGGUUACUCAGCCAGUUCCACUCCCAAGCGUGGAACAGCCACCCUAACCAUGACACGAGCCUCUGUUGCUGAAGACACGUCUCAGGUGCACCAUCUAGAGCCCUCUAGCUGGAACUGAGUGUGGCGUUUCCUCUCUGCUGACGAGCUUUCAAAAUGCUAGCAUUUACCCUGCAGGAUAAGGGUUGGGAGGAAUCACAAAACCGACCCUCUGGGGGGUGUUCCCGCCUGAGCAACCAUCCCCUGGUACCAUAAUCUGGUCAACAAGCCAUGCUGAAGGAGGCCAUAGGUUCAAGGAUGGGGUCAGGGGUUAAUACUGUUCUUCAACUGAAUCACGAAUCAACAUAGCAGCAAACUACUUUUUUUUCUCCUGGUUUUUCAAGACAGGGUUUCUCUGUGUAGCUCUGGCUGUCCUGGAGACCAGGCUGUAGACCAGGCUCUGUAGACCAGACUGACCUUGCACUCACAGAAUCUGCCUGCCUCUGCCUCAGAAGUGCUGGGAUCAAGGUGUGUGCCACCACCGCCCGGCAGAUGAAGAGACUUGCUGCCCAAAAUGCUAAGGAAAAAUGAAGGUUGAGGGCCCAGCCUUAAACAAGACAUCCACACUACUUCUAUGAGGCCCGGGGAGCACUAGGAAGGAGGAGCAGGAAGUGUGUAAGAGCUGGAAGACAGAGUGAAGGGCUGCGGAAUGCCAUCCUCUAUGCUCAGCACAGCCUUUGCAGUCACGAGGCCACAACUGCAAUUACAAGAGAUGGGUCUGUGAGCAAUCGGUGUGAGGAGGACGGUGUGCUUGGUCCCCCUCACAGCCAAACUAUUGGACUCUGAAAGAAUCUGGGAGAGGGAGAGGUCAUGUCUGACCCUACUAGGCCGCAUUGGAUAGUUCCAGACCCUCAAAAGGACAGACAGACACCUUGUGAGUCCCAAAACAAAACGAAUAGAUGUGAACAUGAGAAAGAGACUGGGAGAGGGUAGGCUGGGAGAGGGUAGUAGAGAAAUGGGAGAGAGCGAGGAGAAUGGUCAGUAUGUAUUAUGUACGUGGGCGAAACUGUCAAAGAGCAAAUGUAAUUAAUAAAACAUUUUCAAAGAGAACCUUUUACAAUCGUAACUCAAUGAGAGCAGAGCACUAGGAGUGUGUGCCAACUGUCAGAAGGUCCUGAAGAUUCAUCCACAAGAGGGCGCGGUUAACCAAAUAAAAUCACAGUGACAGACAGGCAAGAUCCUUCAGGCCGACCUAACUGAAGUCCAUUAAUACAUGUGAAUUUGUCCACAGUAACACAGACUAUCUCAGAAAGAUACAUAACUUGGAUACGGGAAGAAGAAAACGCGUUCACGUUUUGAACACAUGACUAAUAUUUAUUCAAAACAUCAUGUAAAAAUAUUGUUAUAGGAAACAAUACUUUGUGAAUUUCUUACAGGAAACGAUUUUGUGAACUUCUUCAGACUUAUGUAUGAAUUUUUAGAAAGGGAUGUGAGGAACACAUUAUGAAGAAAUCAUUAAGAUUUUUUUGCAAACCCUGCUACUUCACAUUAUGAACGUUUUUGUUUUGUUUUACACAGUUACGCUUUGGACAACAGAGUUUGUUGUUGUUGUCAUUUGCAUGCAGUAUUAGGCCUUUUUUUGGCACUCACAUCCUAUGUAUCCCUCCAUCCUCCCUCCAUUUCUUAAUACCUUUCCCCUCUUGUGGUCUCCUUUAGAGUUUCAUACCCUAUACCCAUGCUCACAUCCACAUAGACCAGGCUGGCUUUGAACACCCAGAAUCUGCCUGCCUCUGCCUCAGAAGUGCUGGGAUCAAAGGCGAGUGCCACCACCUCCCGGCAGAUGAAGAGACUUGCUGCCCAAGAUGCUAAGGAAAAAUGAAGGUUGAGGGCCCAGCCUUAAACAAGACAUCCACACUACUUCUGUGAGGCCCGGGGAGUACUAGGAAGGAGGAGCAGGAAGUGUGUAAGAGCUGGAAGACAGAGUGAAGGGCUGCGGAAUGCCAUCCUCUAUGCUCAGCACAGCCUUUGCAGUCACGAAAUCACAACUGCAAUUACACGAGACAGGUCUGUGAGCAAUCGGUGUGAGAAGUUUGGGCCUCUUGUAUAAUACUCUCCAGAUCUAUUUUCUGUCCAUUUUAUUUUGUACUGACAGAUGAAUAAAAAUUCCAUUGAGUG